rnacentral:rRNA from 1 species
GAUGAACGCUGGCGGCGUGCCUAAUACAUGCAAGUCGAGCGAACAGAUGAGGAGCUUGCUCCUCUGACGUUAGCGGCGGACGGGUGAGUAACACGUGGAUAACCUACCUAUAAGACUGGGAUAACUUCGGGAAACCGGAGCUAAUACCGGAUAAUAUAUUGAACCGCAUGGUUCAAUAGUGAAAGACGGUUUUGCUGUCACUUAUAGAUGGAUCCGCGCCGCAUUAGCUAGUUGGUAAGGUAACGGCUUACCAAGGCAACGAUGCGUAGCCGACCUGAGAGGGUGAUCGCCCACACUGGAACUGGGACACGGUCCAGACUCCUACGGGAGGCAGCAGUAGGGAAUCUUCCGCAAUGGGCGAAAGCCUGACGGAGCAACGCCGCGUGAGUGAUGAAGGUCUUCGGAUCGUAAAACUCUGUUAUUAGGGAAGAACAAAUGUGUAAGUAACUAUGCACGCCUUGACGGUACCUAAUCAGAAAGCCACGGCUAACUACGUG